rnacentral:lncRNA from 1 species
AAUUUUCAGCCGUUAAAACAAGAUGUUUUGAGCACGAAUACUGAUUUACUUGCCUGUAAGCUAUUGGAUACAAGGACAAACUUGUUGCCAUCUCCAAGACUGAUAUCAUGCUGAGUCACUUGAUAAACCAUAGCCAUGUAUCCAGUCUCGUAUUGUACCACAGCCGAAGCAAACUACUAUAGCUGAUUAUUAGUGUCAUGUCCUACACAAUAAGUAAUAUAUUUUCAUUGCGACCUUUAAAAACAUUUCAUCAAGCCUUAUGAUUGGCUGAUAAUACCCUCUUCAGCAGCUUCUCAAAUCAAACAUAGAACCGAUCACAUACAUCCUCUUCAGCAGCAUUAUAAAUGGUAUCAAGAAAUACACUUGGACCCGGGUUAGUCUUCUGAAUACUCUCACAUAACCUCAGAGAUGAGAAG